GACAGAGGGUGCAAACGUUGUUCGGAAUUACUGGGCGUAAAGCGCGUGUAGGCGGCCCUGCAAGUCGGGUGUGAAAUCCCACGGCUCAACCGUGGAAGUGCACUCGAAACUGCAGGGCUAGAGUCCUGGAGAGGAAGGUGGAAUGCUUGGUGUAGAGGUGAAAUUCGUAGAUAUCAAGAGGAACACCGGUGGCGAAGGCGGCCUUCUGGACAGUGACUGACGCUGAGACGCGAAAGCGUGGGGAGCAAACAGG
rnacentral:rRNA from 1 species